rnacentral:rRNA from 1 species
AUUGAACGCUGGCGGCAGGCCUAACACAUGCAAGUCGAGCGAGCGGCGGACGGGUGAGUAAUGUAUGGGGACUGCCCGAUCGAGGGGGAUAACUACUGGAAACGGUGGCUAAUAACGCAUACUAUCGGAUAACCCAUAUGGGAUUAGCUAGUAUGUGGGGAAAAGGCUCCCCUAGGCGACGAUCUCUAGCUGGUCUGAGAGGAGGAGAAGCCACACGGGGACGGAGACACGGCCCAGACGCCUACGGAGGCAGCAGUGGGGAAUAGUGCACAAUGGGCGCAAGCCUGAUGCAGCAAUGCCGGGUGUGUGAAGAAGGCUUUAGGGUUGUAAAGUACUUUCAGCGGGGAGGCGGUACCCGCAGAGGAAGCCCCGGCUAACUCCGUGCCAGCAGCCGCGGUAAUUC